rnacentral:rRNA from 1 species
GGGUUGUGAGGUUAAGCGACUAAGCGUACACGGUGGAUGCCCUGGCAGUCAGAGGCGAUGAAGGGCGUGCUAAUCUGCGAUAAGCGCCGGUAAGGUGAUAUGAACCGUUAUAACCGGCGAUACCCGAAUGGGGAAACCCAGUGUGACUCGUCACACUAUCAUUAACUGAAUCCAUAGGUUAAUGAGGCGAACCGGGGGAACUGAAACAUCUAAGUACCCCGAGGAAAAGAAAUCAACCGAGAUUCCCCCAGUAGCGGCGAGCGAACGGGGAGGAGCCCAGAGCCUGAAUCAGCAUGUGUGUUAGUGGAAGCGUCUGGAAAGGCGCGCGAUACAGGGUGACAGCCCCGUACACAAAAGCGCAUGUGCUGUGAGCUCGAUGAGUAGGGCGGGACACGUGGUAUCCUGUCUGAAUAUGGGGGGACCAUCCUCCAAGGCUAAAUACUCCUGACUGACCGAUAGUGAACCAGUACCGUGAGGGAAAGGCGAAAAGAACCCCGGCGAGGGGAGUGAAAAAGAACCUGAAACCGUGUACGUACAAGCAGUGGGAGCACAGGUUUACCUGUGUGACUGCGUACCUUUUGUAUAAUGGGUCAGCGACUUAUAUUCUGUAGCAAGGUUAACCGUAUAGGGGAGCCGUAGGGAAACCGAGUCUUAACCGGGCGUUAAGUUGCAGGGUAUAGACCCGAAACCCGGUGAUCUAGCCAUGGGCAGGUUGAAGGUUGGGUAACACUAACUGGAGGACCGAACCGACUAAUGUUGAAAAAUUAGCGGAUGACCUGUGGCUGGGGGUGAAAGGCCAAUCAAACCGGGAGAUAGCUGGUUCUCCCCGAAAGCUAUUUAGGUAGCGCCUCGUGAAUUCAUCUCCGGGGGUAGAGCACUGUUUCGGCUAGGGGGCCAUCCCGGCUUACCAACCCGAUGCAAACUGCGAAUACCGGAGAAUGUUAUCACGGGAGACACACGGCGGGUGCUAACGUCCGUCGUGAAGAGGGAAACAACCCAGACCGCCAGCUAAGGUCCCAAAGUCAUGGUUAAGUGGGAAACGAUGUGGGAAGGCCCAGACAGCCAGGAUGUUGGCUUAGAAGCAGCCAUCAUUUAAAGAAAGCGUAAUAGCUCACUGGUCGAGUCGGCCUGCGCGGAAGAUGUAACGGGGCUAAACCAUGCACCGAAGCUGCGGCAGCGACGCUGUGCGUUGUUGGGUAGGGGAGCGUUCUGUAAGCCUGUGAAGGUGGCCUGUGAGGGUUGCUGGAGGUAUCAGAAGUGCGAAUGCUGACAUAAGUAACGAUAAAGCGGGUGAAAAGCCCGCUCGCCGGAAGACCAAGGGUUCCUGUCCAACGUUAAUCGGGGCAGG